rnacentral:lncRNA from 1 species
AAAAGGGCAAAUUUCCUAAACUUUUGGGUCAUUAUUAAUGUAAAAUUUAAUUAAUUUUUUCAUUUUUAAACUUCAAUAAUUGAGUACAAAAUAGUAAAAUUCAAUAUUUUUCAUUUUAAUGAAUUGAUUUACAAAUCUGGAAAAGAACCACACUCCAAAAUUAACCAGUCACAGUAAAUUAAAUUCAGCAACAGUAAAAUCACCAUCACGGUUGUUUUUUUGUUUCUUUUUUUUUGUUGUU